rfam:Camelus ferus isolate Naran unplaced genomic scaffold scaffold2177, whole genome shotgun sequence.
GUGCUUGCUUCGGCAGCACAUAUACUAAAAUUGGACCGAUACAAAGAAGAUUAGCAUGGCUCCUGCACAAGGAUGACACGCAAAUUCGUGAAGUGUUCCAUAUUUUU